GCAGUGAGCGAGGGGAGGAGGGGGAGCCCUGUGCUGGCUGCUUGGAGGGGUCUGCGUCUCUGGAGCGUCUUGUCCUGUGAUUCGUUCCGAGCCGGGCUGGGCCAGGACUGCGGCGUGGGGGCCCUCAAAGGAAAGUCUGGGUGCUGCAGGAGAGAUGGCAUGUAUUCAAUCUACCCUUUCAGAGGAGCAGUCAAUAGCCACGACAUAUAGACUAGCUUCUUUAUAAUUAGGAUCCUGGACAUCUGGAGAAACAUCUGGAAGCAAGGAUAGCUGUGCUGGCACUGGGCCAUAACAAUGAAGAAGAAGAUGAAGAAGAUAGCAGUGUUGCAGGCUCUGGACAUUGAGUACAUGGCUAUUUGAAAGUCCCUACGGAUAUACUAUAUGGCAUGCCUCCUAAUGAAGGACUCAGGAAGAUCAGGUCGUCAACAAGGAAUGUACAUAUCCCUGAAGAAAGAAACCAAAGCUUCGGAAUGAAGUCAGCAAAUUAGCACAUAAGAAAGAGAAUGGAGGAUAUAGCUUAAUCCUUCAGUUGUUAUCUUUGUCAUGCCAGGGGAAGGGAUCAUGAGUUAAACAUGGAAAGUCAGUGAGAGUUUUGAAUGCAUGAAAAUUGGAGAUCAUUCCCCAAUUCAGCAGUCAUGGUUGGCUCAGGUAAAUCCUCCAUACAACCCCAACCCAGCAAACCAUUUAAGCGGUUUUGUAACUUUAGGCAUGUGAGUAAUCCCACUGAAGUCAAUCAGAAUGCUCACAUCUUUAAAGUUAUGCAUGUGUUUAAGUGCUUUACUAAUUUUCAGUUCUUUACUUACCAGUGCUGAUUAGGCUGUGUACAACAAAUAGUUAUGCUUUGAUUAGAUUAAAUAAGGCACACUGUAGGCAUGAAUUUUGUACCUUAGAUAUUAGUAGGUAAGUUACUGCUCUUUUCUAGAUAGUAGUUUGUGUAUUUCCCUAUUUCUGAUAAAUAUUGUUAUUUCAUAUUGGGGAAAUAUUCCCAUUCAAGUUACCCACUACAUUUUAGAAUUUAAAAUUAAUACAGAAAUCUGUUCUUAAUCCCUAAGUACAUAUGUGUGCUGUAACAGUGAAAACGUUUUAAGAGUCAUUGCCCUUUUUUAUGAUGUUCAGUCUUCAGGUGUGCAUAACUUCACUAUGCUACAUAUUAAAGGAAUAUUGUCACCUUAAAAAUCAUAUAACUUCUGUAUCUGUGUUUUUAAAAUACCCCUUUAGAUUACUAAAACAGAGUUUUUUUAAAAUGAGGUACUUUUAAUCAUUUAGGCUGUUUCUUUUCUUUUUGCAUAUCUCAGCUUGAUAAAUGAAACUGGUUAGUUUCACUUUUAUAUAGCUUUUAGUUAGUUAAUAUUUUUUGCUUUUAUGUUUUCACAUAUUUGACCUGCACAAUGCUGCAAUAUUUGGAUUGGUAUCUGCAAGAUACUCUGCAAGAGAAUCCUUGCUCUUUUCUUUUCUUUUCUUUUCUUUUCUUUUCUUUUCUUUAAAGGAAACCAUCUCCACUGAAAUUCAGUUUUAAAACAAUCCUGGGAAGAUUUCUAUUAACUUGUUUUUACAAAAUCCAUUAUUUUUACAAAUUGUUAGUUUGGGGCAAAAUUUCACUCAGCUGUGUCAUUUCAGAAGAUUACAGAAAAUAGGCACAUUAAAUUGUCUUUGCAGCCCUCAGAAAAAACCAACCCACAAAGCACCUGAGAAAACAAGGAUGUAAGCAUAAAGGAUGUAAGCAUAAAUUAAUGAAAUGGGGAUUAGAAAGGGGAAAUCCCAAUCUCUGAAAUUAAUCAAAUGUAUGUAUUAAAAGGGUGAGUCAGUUGAACUUAAUAAAGUGGUUGAUAUAAAAUACAGGUAUUUUCAAAGUAGAGGCUUGGAGAGUUGUAUCCUAAAUUGAAAUUUGUAGGGUGAAAUCCUGGCUUCAUUAUAGUUGAUGGCAAAACUCCCAAGCAUUUGCCUCUGCUUUAACUGAAGUUAGUGCGGCUGCUUGCAUGGAUAAGAAUCACUCACUAGAGCCAGGGGUUGCUGGAUUGGGGACUAAGGACCAAAACACAAUGCAUGCCCUAACUCCAAGCACCUAGUCCCAUUGAGACACCAGGGUAGUAGAGUAAGAUGAGUGGAACUACUCACAUGGUUGUAAUUCUUUGCAGGACUGGAGCCUAAAUCUAUAACUAAACAGGCAGCUUUCCAAGUUCAUUUAGUUUUUUAAUAUUACCCUACCCAGACUAAUACUGAGAAUAGUUGAAUAACAGUAAAGCCAUCUUGUGGUCCACUCUGUCCUCAUAAAAAUAGUAAUUUGGCAAGACAGUAAACAUAAUCAUGUAGACUGGCAUGAAAGUAAUUUACUUUCAGUUCUGUUAUGUUGAAGAUGCUACUAUAAGGCUUAAAAAAAUAAAGACCAGUCAACUCAGUUAGUUCUGGGACGUUGAAUGAAUGUACUAUUGAAUGAAUGUAAACUAAAAUGAUGUAAGCAUGACAACAAAACGCUAAAAGAAUGUACAAGUUGACUUUGGUAUCAUUCUAUUGAUAGAGUGCUUCAGUUUAGUAAUGUAAUAAAAUUAGUCACAAAUUUCUUUACAAACAUCUGUUCUGCUACAUGAAUAGCUUGCAAGCCAGUCAUUGUGGCUCUGGUAUCUGAGCUUCAAAACUGGCAUGCUUGGUCAGCAGCACGGGUCUCAUGGAAUUAAUUCUGCUUAAUGACUUAAGUGGCUAACUACUACACACAAAUUGCAAAUUUUGAAUAUUGAAAUAGAAUAUAUAAUUGAAAAUUUUCUGUCAGGGUAAAAUUCAUCCCUGUGCACCACAGGUCUGUGUAUUGCUUUAGCCCUAUUUUGAGGGCUUAUGUGGGGCAUAAGUAAUAGACGAGCCUUUUGCUGGAUCUUUGCACAGGGUUGAAUUUUGCCCAUCGUGCAUUUUCAGAUACUGGAGCUUAAUAUAUAUUUUUCUUGAGUAUUAGUGCCAGUAAAACAUGACUGCUCAAAGUCCAUAGAAAGCAAAUAUGAAAAGGGUAGUGAAAACAAUCAGAUAGAAAUUCAUUUUUUGAAUUCAAAUGAAUAGACAAUGAAAAAUGUUCACUUUUCACUCUGCUUUAGUCUCAGUUCCUUUUUUUCUUUAGCAUAUUUUUUCCUUUGUAUAAAACUGAUCUUUUGUGAACUGAUAAAAGGUUCUUCAGAGCUGUUAUGGCAUGUUCUUCUGCUCUGUUAAUGUGUAUCAAUAAUAGGCAUAAUUGUGGUACAGAUCCAUGUUUUCAAAUGUCUGCUAAUCUGCUCAAGAAAACUAGUGUGUGAUUUCAGCUUCCUCAACUCUAUCUUAGUUAUUUUAUUACACUUCAAAGGACUUAGUCUAUUUUAAUUUCAUAAACCUAAAUCAAUUUUAAAUCAGAAUGUGAAAAAGCACCCAGAGUUGCGAAACUACAGUUUCUUUGUCGGGUGUCUAUUACUCAGGGAGUCAAAUGGAUUGUACUAUGCUUAUUUUUUACAAUAAUUCAUGAAACAGGCAAUUAUCUCUAAGUACAAUGUAUUCUUAUGAGCCUCUGAUAAUCAGGACCAUUCCUUAAUUGGCAUGUUUCUGAGUCCACUGGGUUGUGCCAUUAAGGAGAUUUGACUUUUCCAAUUGCCCUCUCGAUACCUCAGAUUAUCAUAAAUUAAUUCUAACUGCCUUAGUAAAAAUUGGGGGCCCCAUCAUGUAGUUCUUUCUCAGACCAAAGCAGGGACAAUAAUUGUCCUCUAUUCUGCUGUGGGGAAAAGGGAUGAGAAUGCUGCAGGGAAAGAGAUGAGGACAUGUAUAGAGCUCCCAUGGAAGUUGUCAAGGUUCCUUCCCCAUUCUGAGCUCUAGGGUACAGAUGUGGGGACCUGCAUGAAAAAAACCCCUAAGCUUAUUUUUACCAGCUUAGGUUAAAACUUCCCCAAGGUACAAACUAUUUUACCUUUUGCCCUUGGACUUUAUUGCUGCUACCACCAAGCAUCUAACAAAUAUAUAACAUGGAAAGAGCCCACUUGGAAACGUCUUUCCCCCCCAAAAUCCUCCCAAACCCUACACCCCCUUUCCUGGGGAAGGCUUGAUAAAAAUCCUCACCAAUUUGCAUAGUUGAACACAGACCCAAACCCUUGGAUUUUAAGUAGAAUUUUAAUUGAAGAAAAAGUAAAAGAAUCACCUCUGUAAAAUCAGGAUGUAAAUACCUUACAGGGUAAUCAGAUUCAAAACAUAGAGAAUCCCUCUAGGGAUUUUUGUAACCUUAAGUUACAAAAAGACACAAAACCAGGAAUAUACAUUCCAUUCAGCACAGCUUAUUUUAUCAGCCAUUUAAACAAAACAGAAUCUAACGCAUAUCUAGCUAGAUUACUUACUCAAUUCCUUUUCUGUUCCCGGCAAAAGCAUCACACAGACAGAGAGAGCCUUUGUUUUUCCCUCCCUCCAGCUUUGAAAGUAUCUUGUCUCCUCAUUGGUCAUUUUGGUCAGGUGCCAGCGAGGUUAUCCUAGCUUCUUAACCCUUUACAGGUGAAAGGGUUUUUCCUCUGGCCAGGAGAGAUUUUAAAGGUGUUUACCCUUCCCUUUAUACUUAUGACAGAAGUCAAAGAGAGUUUUGGAGAAAUUGCAAGAUCAGACCCUGAAUUUCUUGAAAUAAAAUGAGUCAGAACCACUGAAAGUAUUCUCCAUCUCCUCCUCUUGAAGGCCAAAUCUGUAAUUCCCUGAACAUACAUGACACCUUCCACACAACACAAGGCUUUCUGAGUAGAGAGGACAAAACAAGAGCCCGAGUCCAAAGCAGAAGAGAUCAACAUUGAAUACAUUAUUUGAUGAAGAUGGUCGUUAAUCACCACCAUUUAUUCAUCACAUAAUAUUCUAAUAAAUUAAUGAAUAAUUGUGAUUUUCAUCAAUGUAGUAGAUGAAUAAUAUUCAACCAGUGGAGUUCAACCACAAAACUUCAUAGCUCGGGUUUAUAAUUUUAUAUUUGGGGUCAUCUAAAUCAGUGGUGCCCAUCCUUAUUACACAGGAGGGCCACAUACACCUAAGCACAACCUUGUGUGGGCCAACAGAUUCUACAUAUUUUAAUAAGAUAUAAAGUAACCUGUGUUGAUUUAUAUUUUAAGUUCAGCUUGUUUAGCAUGUAUUUAGAGAGGUUGUUUCUAUGUACACUAUUCUCUGUUUACACACUUGUGUAAACUAAAAUGAUGUAAGCAUGACGACAAAACACUGAUGAAUCAGCUGUUAGUAUAUUGUGUUGAAGCUGGCUGUGGGCUUUAUGAGGUGGGGCACCCCUGAUCUAAUGGGACCAUCCCUGGUCUUGGUUUAGAUGUGUCUCUCAGGUUGUGGGAGGGGAUUGGAAAAACAGUUUUGGUUUUGGUCCAUCUGCCUUUCUCAGUAUCCAUAUGUGUUUAGAGCUCAGUUGUGGCUUUAAGAGAGGCCAUGGCAGGAGGCAGUGCAAAGUAAGAGCUCUCAUAGACAUUGUGCCUCAUCAGGUCACGGUGCCAGGAGUGGAGGUGGGGGAGCAUGGCAUACAUGCCUCCCUAUCACAAGUCAACUUCAUUGGCUGAUGCACUGGUGGGUCAGGACUUUGGCCAUACCCCUUUCUGGUGCCAGCAUCGGCAUUGUCAGUUCUUGGGCACAGUGGCCAUUGCAGGUCAUCAGUGCACGCUCAGGAUUUGAAGAGGUCCUUGGCCCCUCACCUAACCUUGUGCACCUGUGUAGGGCUGAGCACAAUAAGUCCCUUAAGAAAGCCCAAUGUUACUGUGUUGCCUUUCCAAAUAAUGGAUAGAUGUACACAGCCUAUUGUUGUUAGCUCUUGUGUUUUUACAUUUUUCUCCAUUGAUUGUGAAUUUAUAAUCUCCAGAAUUGAUAAUUCUUCACCUCUUCCUCAUCUAUUCAUUGGAAGCUGGGACAGAAUAAGCCAGUCACCACUGAUAAACUCUAUGAGCCUGUAAAAUAUAAGGGCUUUUCCUUUCUAAAGGGAACAAUGUUAUCACAUUUGCUUUUUUAUGCAGAAGUGGACAGGCUUAGGCUACCUUUUAAUGACAGAAUUUUUCCAUUAUUCCCACAUAUAUUUUGCAUGUUGAUCCACUGCAAACUAUCUGGUUUUGCUAAUGAUGUAUGGCAUGGGUGAUUUUCACCCCUUUGCCUUAUGUUGGCACAGAAGUGAAUUUCACUAUAGACUUGCAGCCAGCAAAAGCUCCUCAGUUCACUUGAGAGGCAAACAUUGAUGUACACAUGUGUGUGUUUUUAGGAAGCAAGCAGACUAUCUUUUAGCUCAGCUUUUUUGCCUCCAUCUCCUACCCUGUCACACAUACACAAAUCUCUGAUGUGCAAAGAGCUUCCAGCAGCCUUUGAUUAAAGGGCCAUAGUUGAAUCAAUGUAGGGACCGAAUUUAGGUUUGGUAAAAGCAAUAUUUCUGUGAUUUAAAAAAAAUUCCACUGCAAAUAGAUUUUACUUGGGUGUAAACAUUCCCCUGCAUUGUACUAGGGAAUGAGAGCUGCUGUUAAUGUUUGUAAUUUGCUCUGAGAUACUCGGGUGAAAGUCUUAUAGAAGUGUGAAGUAUUUCUAUUUCUAGGGUGUUACUUUAAUGUAUUUGUCAAAGUGAAAGUCAAUAUAUUCACUAUUCAGGAUUUUUUUUUCCUUUUACUGUAUUUCAGAUGAUUCUGUCCAUCUGUUUAGAGAGUAUUUACUCAAUAGUGCUUGCAUUUAUCUUACACCUUUUAACAUUUAAAAUCUCACACAUUUAUUUUCAAAUAAACUGUAUGCCAUUGCUUAAAGCUAAACAGGAUCUAGAUAACCAAAACUUCAGCCCCCAGACCAAUAACAUUACACCCCCAGAUUUUCUUAAUAUUCCUCUCCUGGCCACUGAAAUGAACUCUUCCUUCCAAUCUGCCUCCCCACAUUGGAGUCCUUCAUUUUCCCCUCCCAGCCCCCCAGCAUAAAAUCUUUUUUGUUCCUCACUGACUCACUCCUGUGUUCAGCCUCCUCACAUGGCCAGGCCCUGAUCCCACAGAUUCAAUGAUCCUGCCUUAAUCCACCCCUGCAUCCAUGACUGUAUGCAAUCUAUUCUUUGUACCCAAUCUAUUUCUCAAAGUUCUUCUGUAUCUCUUUGAAGAUUGCCUGUCAUUAGGUUGUUAAAAAUUACAAUGAAUAGAAAAUGAUGAAAUGUGCUGGAGGAGGAGGUAAAGCACCUAGUCUGAGUGUUACUUCAUACUGACUAUGCAUCCCAGUUUUCAAAUUUCUCGUGCAAGUCCAAACAAGCAAUUCAAAACAUUUAAGACAGUAUUCAGCAUUCUUUGCCUUGGUUUGCAUUAUUUGACAACCAGCUUUCCCCUAGUCUGUACGAAUCUAUCAUUUGUGCCAACUUCUUUUCAAACCUAGUAUGCCUUCAUCAUCAUAUUUCAAGUACAUAAUUUUUUUUCAUAUUUCUCUGUUUAAACUGCAUUGAUGUUGAUGCUCAUCUCAUUAUCAGAGCUGGUCAAAUACCACAAAACCAGUGUUGCAUAAAUAGGUCAAUGACCAUUGCCAAUAUGUGUUAAAUAAUGUAUCAGAUAAAUAGUAUUGCAAAACUAAAAUUAUUCAUUGACUUAAUUAUUAAGUGAAAAAAGACAAAAUUCAAUAAAUAUUGUAAUAUUGAGUAGUAUUUGGUGAGCUCCCACCAGUAUAUUAACAGCAAAAGACAAGGGGGUUAAGAUUGGAAUGCAGCUUUCAUUGGAGUCUUCCUCUUUUUCUGUUACCCAUAACUUUCUCAAACAAAAUUUUUGGAUGCAGUUUUUCAUAUCUCAGAUGAAAGUCAGUGCUGCACCUUUUAGGAGGCACAGUACAGAACUCGCAGUCCAGGGAGAAUGAAGCUGGCUUUGAGACAGCUUGUGCCCUCCUGAUUCUGACCUGCUCAGGGGACCAGGACAGCCCUGGAAUACCUUAGUCCUCGGGGCCUUGUCCAAGUUAUGGCAGCCUAUCUAGGCUGCCCCAUGGGCUGCAGUGCUGUCUGGAAUCUCUGUAGUGCUGAAUGCUUUGGUCCUGCCACUCACAUGCCUUCCAACCCCAGCUCUGUCCUCAAUAUGCCUCCGUACUUCAGAGCUUGCAAUGGAGUUCUCAGAGGACAGACAAUAGCUGUCUUCCUCUGUUCCUGUGGCAGGGAAUCCUCCAUGCGUAGACCCUAUUUAAUGCUGCUCUCAACUUUUUACAGGCACCAGAUUCUCACCCCUGCUCUUUGCAUAGAGGCAGUUUUUUAAAGAAAAGUUCAGUGAAAUCGGUCCAGUCAUUUUUGUGUUCUGGGUGUGUUUGAAAAUAAUAUACAGUUGGUUCAUA